rnacentral:lncRNA from 1 species
AUGAAAAGGGUGGAGGCCACAAAACAGCAGGAACCCAUCCGCUUCGGGGAUUCACAUGCCACAGCCAAUCACAGGCCUGCUGUUUCUCACCACGCCCCACCCUUCCCAUGGAGGUGUCUCAGAAGACCAGAAAUGAUGUGGCUUUCUUCUCCCCAUAUAGCAAGGAGGCUCUCCUGAGAAAACGUGGACAUAAUUGAAACUGAAUAUGUAGUAGCCCAACUCUGAACAGAUUACACACUCGUCUACAAAGAUCACUUACAGUUAAAAUCACAGACAGAAAUCUGGGCUAGGUGACUUUACUCCAAAAUAUCUGAUAUACUCUAUAGUAUGAACAAAACAAUAGUGCUCUGUACCUCUGGUUGUAGACACCCACAGGGUCCUCUGGUUUUAAUUCCUGCAUGAUCACCCAGUUACUUAAUACAAUCAUUUACUGACUCCAUUAGCUUCAAUUGUCACUAAUUUGAAACCUUUACUCAUUGAACAAUCUGUGUAAACCUGCGGGGGACCAGGUGUGAGGAUCACAGCCAUAAAAUGAAAUCCAAAGAUUAGAGGUCAAAUGUAAAGGUUUUUAUUGAAAGGCAUAUACUGUACUUUUCAUUAAGAAAAUAUGUUAAAUUGUCCUAAAUGCAUGUACUAUACUUAAAAACUGGAUUAUACUGGAUUAUUACAAAAAUACUAUAAUCUGAUUUGUAUGUAUGACCGGAGACUUAUUGUGACUGAGUAUUGUGACAUGGACCACACAGUUUAUCUUUUUUAGUUUACGGUGUCACAUUUUGAUGCUUCUCUUAUUUUGUGAAUAGAGGCUUCCUAAAGGAAAAUUGUAUUGUAUUUCUUUCCAUAGGUGUGCUUUAUAGAUAUGGUUACAUACAGAAAGCAUUGUGAUAGAGAGAUAAGAAAAAAGUUAAAAAGUAGAGUUGAUUCAGACACUCAUCACUAGCCCUAGCCAUAAUGAACAGUUCAAAAAGGCCUAGUAAUACUAGUAGUACUAGUAGUAUUCAUUGAUGAGUAUCUGAUUGUUGAGUCCUUGUAUACAAAAACUAGUGCAUCUGUGUGCACUGCCUUCUUAAUUGUAUUUUGAGUCUACUAAUUACAUUUUCAAUGAGUACUAAAGAUUUAAAAAUUAAAAAAUAACAAUUAUAGUACAUCAAAAAAGAAAACAACAUUCAUAUUAUCAUAUUUUAUACAAUACAUUUCCUGUCCCUAAAAUACUUAUUUUUCACCUCUGAAACAAAGGUUGCC